rnacentral:rRNA from 1 species
UUAGUUUGAUCCUGGCUCAGGACGAACGCUGGCGGCGUGCUUAACACAUGCAAGUCGAACGGUGAACCAGGGCUUGCCCUGGGGAUCAGUGGCGAACGGGUGAGUAACACGUGGGCAACCUGCCCCAGACUCUGGGAUAACUCCGGGAAACCGGGGCUAAUACCGGAUACGAAUCGAGUUGGCAUCUUCUCGAUUGGAAAGUUUUUCGGUCUGGGAUGGGCCCGCGGCCUAUCAGCUUGUUGGUGGGGUAAUGGCCUACCAAGGCGACGACAGGUAGCCGGCCUGAGAGGGCGACCGGCCGCACUGGGACUGAGACACGGCCCAGACUCCUACGGGAGGCAGCAGUGGGGAAUAUUGCGCAAUGGGCGAAAGCCUGACGCAGCGACGCCGCGUGAGGGACGACGGCCUUCGGGUUGUAAACCUCUUUCAGCAGGGAUGAAGCGAAAGUGACAGUACCUGCAGAAGAAGCACCGGCUAACUACGUGCCAGCAGCCGCGGUAAUACGUAGGGUGCAAGCGUUGUCCGGAAUUAUUGGGCGUAAAGAGCUCGUAGGCGGUCUGUCACGUCGGAUGUGAAAAUCCAGGGCUCAACCCUGGACCUGCAUUCGAUACGGGCAGACUAGAAUUCGGUAGGGGAGACUGGAAUUCCUGGUGUAGCGGUGAAAUGCGCAGAUAUCACGAGGAACACCGGUGGCGAAGGCGGGUCUCUGGGCCGAUAUUGACGCUGAGGAGCGAAAGCGUGGGGAGCGAACAGGAUUAGAUACCCUGGUAGUCCACGCCGUAACGUUGGGCGCUAGGUGUGGGGAACAUUCCACGUUCUCCGUGCCGCAGCUAACGCAUUAAGCGCCCCGCCUGGGGAGUACGGCCGCAAGGCUAAAA